rnacentral:rRNA from 1 species
GUAGUCCACGCCGUAAACGAUGGAUACUAGCUGUUGGGAGCGAUCUCAGUGGCUAAGCGAAAGUGAUAAGUAUCCCACCUGGGGAGUACGUUCGCAAGAAUGAAACUCAAAGGAAUUGACGGGGGCCCGCACAAGCGGUGGAGCAUGUGGUUUAAUUCGAUGAUACGCGAGGAACCUUACCAAGGCUUAAAUGUAGAUUGACCGGUUUGGAAACAGACUUUUCGCAAGACAAUUUACAAGGUGCUGCAUGGUUGUCGUCAGCUCGUGCCGUGAGGUGUCAGGUUAAGUCCUAUAACGAGCGCAACCCCUGUUGUUAGUUGCCAGCGAGUCAUGUCGGGAACUCUAACGAGACUGCCGGUGACAAACCGGA